rnacentral:rRNA from 1 species
GCUUGUCUCAAAGAUUAAGCCAUGCAUGUCUAAGUAUAAACAAAUUUGUACUGUGAAACUGCGAAUGGCUCAUUAAAUCAGUUAAAGUUUAUUUGAUAGUACCUUACUACUUGGAUAACCGUAGUAAUUCUAGAGCUAAUACAUGCGAAAAGACCCGACUUUUUGGAAGGGUUGUAUUUAUUAGAUUUAAGGCCAACCGAGCUUGCUCGUCUCUUGGUGAAUCAUGAUAACUUCACGAAUCGCAUGGCCUCGCGCCGGCGAUAUUUCAUUCAAAUUUCUGCCCUAUCAAUUGGCGAUGGUAGGAUAGAGGCCUACCAUGGUGUUAACGGGUGACGGGGGAUUAGGGUUCGAUUCCGGAGAGGCAGCCUGAGAAACGGCUACCACAUCCAAGGAAGGCAGCAGG